GGGUGGCGAGUGGCGCACGGGUGAGUAAUACAUCGGAACGUGUCCUAUCGUGGGGGAUAACUGAUCGAAAGAUCAGCUAAUACCGCAUAAGACCUGAGGGUGAAAGUGGGGGAUCGCAAGACCUCACGCGAUUGGAGCGGCCGAUGCCCGAUUAGCUAGUUGGUGAGGUAAAGGCUCACCAAGGCGACGAUCGGUAGCUGGUCUGAGAGGACGACCAGCCACACUGGGACUGAGACACGGCCCAGACUCC
rnacentral:rRNA from 1 species